rnacentral:lncRNA from 10 species
CGAAUCGGCUGCACAUGGCUGUGGCCCUUUUUGGCAUGACCAUUGUUCCUUCUUUUCUUUGUCAUCUUGGAGGCAUAGACCGGAAAGAGGACAGUUGUUCCUUUCUUUUGGCCAAUUUCUCCCUUUUGGAAUGGGAAUGUUUACCCAAUGCCUGCAUCCCCAUUGUAUCUUGGAAAUAAAUAACUUGUCUUUGAGUUCAAAGGCUCAUAGGUGGAAAGAACUCAUUUCCAGAUGAGACUUUGAACCUGGGACUGCAGGCUUUUGGUUGUGUUGAUGCUGGGACGAGUUAAGACUUUGGGGAACUACUGAGAAGGGACGAUCUUACUUUGCAAUGUGAGAAGGACAUGAGAUUCGGGAAGCCCAG